rnacentral:lncRNA from 10 species
UGAGCCACCGCGCCCGGCCUUUUAUUUUUUUAAUUAUUAUUUUUUGAGACGGAGUCUCUUGCUCUGUUGCCCAGGCUGGAGUGCAGUGGCGCGAUCUCGGCUCACUGCAAGCUCCGCCUCCCGGGUUCACGCCAUUCUUCUGCCUCAGCCUCCUGAGUAGCUGGGACUACAGGCGCCGGCCACCACGCCUGGCUAAUUUUUUUGUAUUUUUUAGUAGAGACGGGGUUUCACCGUGUUAGCCAGGAUGGUCUUGAUCUCUUGAUCUCGUGAUCCGCCCACCUUGGUCUCCCAAAGUGCUGGGAUUACAGGCGUGAGCCAUGGCGCCCGGCCGGAAGUUUUACAUUUUUACAUGUAUAUAUAUAUUUUGCGACAGGGUCUUGCUCUGUCCCCCAGGCUGGAGUGGAGUGGCUAGAUCACAGCUCACUGUAGCCUUAUCACAGCUCACUGUAUCCUUGACCUCCUAGGCUCAUGUGAUGCUCCUACCUAAGCCUCCAAAGUAUUUGGGACCAGAGGUGUGUGCCACUACGCCUAAUUUUUUUUUUAAUUUAAAUUUUUUGUAGAGACGGAGUCCCACUAUGUUGGCCAGGCUGGUCUCCAACUCCUGGCCUCCAGUGAUCCUCCUGUCUUGGCCUCCCAAAGGGCUAGGAUUACAGGCGUGAGCU